rnacentral:rRNA from 1 species
UACGUAGGGUCCAAGCGUUAUCCGGAAUCACUGGGCGUAAAGCGUGCGUAGGUGGCGUGUUAAGUGUGAUGUUAAAACGUGGGGCUCAACCCUGUCGGUGCAUCACAUACUGGCAUGCUAGAGGACGGCAGAGGCAAGUGGAAUUUGUAGUGUAGCAGUGAAAUGCGUAGAUAUUACAAGGAACACCAAUGGCGAAGGCAGCUUGCUGGGCCACUCCUGACACUGAGGUACGAAAGCGUGGGGAGCGAACAGG